ensembl:rRNA 5S_rRNA 5S ribosomal RNA
CCUAACAAUAAUUCUACUACCUCAUGCAGGGAUCCUGUCUGAUCUCACAAGCUAAGCAUAGCCAGGCCAGAUUAGUAUUUCAACAGGAAACCUAACAUGGAACACACAGGAUGCUGUAGGGA